rnacentral:lncRNA from 1 species
CCCUUUGGUAACCAUAAGUUUGUUUUCAAAGUCUGUGAGUCUGUUUCUGUUCUGCAAAGUUCAUUUGUAUCCUUUUUUAAGAUGCCUCAUGUAAGUGAUACCGUAUGUUUGUCUUUAUCUGACUUAAGUUCACUUAAUAGGAUAAAUCUCUAAUUGUAUCUAUGUUGCUGCAAAUGACAUUAUUUCAUUCUUUUUAUGGUUGAGUAUUAUUUCAUUUAUAUAUGUACCACAUCUUCUUUAUCCAUUCCUCUGCUGAUAGACAUUUAGGUUGCUUCAUGUCCUGGCUAUUGUAAAUAGUGUUGCAAUGAACAUUGGAGUGCACAUAUCUUUUCAAAUUACGGUUUUCUCCAGGUAGAUGUCCUGGAGUGGGAUUGCUGGAUCAGAUGGUAGUUUUAUUUUUAGUUUAUUGAGGAACCUCCAUAGUGUUUGUACCAAUUUACAUUGCCCCCAAAGAGAGUUCCCUUUUCUCCACACCCUCUCCAGCACUUAUUGUUUGUAGAUUUUUUUGAUAAUAGCCACUCUGAACGGUGUUAAGGUGGUACCUCAUAGUAAUUUUGAUUUGCAUUCUUCUAAUAAUUAGCAAUGCUGAGCAUCUUUUCAUGUGUUUUUGGCCAUCUGUAUGUCUUCUUUGGAGAAAUGUCUAUUUAAAUAUUCUGCCCAUUUUUUGAUUGGGUUGUUUGUUUUUUUGAAAAAAUGCACAUUGUAACAGGAGGGGAUUAAAUAAAAAUAAACACAUGUAGAAGCUCUGUUACACUCCAGUGGGUGCUCUAAGGAAAACACGCCUCAUUUUGGAGUCCACUGGCGCUAAUGCACCUGGUCACUAACAUCUGAAUAGGAUGAGUGUGAUUUCAUGGGAAUCUUGUCUUGCUCUGCUCCAUGGUCCUGGGAGUGGGUGAAAGGGCUCUUGUCCAUGCCAUUUGCAGAUGAGAAAUCAGGCUCAGAAGGAUGAAAUGACCUGUCCAAGGUAUAUUAUGGAAGCAGAACACAUCAGGUUUCCUUCUUCUAAAAGUCUUAUUAAAGUAAUUCUACUUUUUAAGAAAGUGCUUCUGAAUCAGAACUUAAAGUCUCAGGACUGUAAAGAAAGUACGAAGCACAAAGAUGUUGAUGCCGAUGGCUGUAAGCACAGUUUUCUCUUCCUGCCUUUCAACAUUUAUUAAACAUUAAGGUUUAAAAUUCAUAUUUUAUAACCCAAAAUAUACACCAAUAACUUGUUCAUAAAAAUGACACCAUCUAUCAAAAGUAAAGCCCCUUUGUCACCCAGUGUGUCUGUCGUGUGGCCAGAUUCAAGACAGCCUUCAACAGCAGGAGAUCUGCAUUUUUUUUUCUGAUGAGAAUAAGCAAAAAAGUUGUUUGGCCGAUUUAAAAUAUGUUUAAGAACGCUUUAAUACAAAAUUCAUGUCUACUUGUCACAACUUAGUACACAUUGUAAAAAUAUUUAUUUUUUUUAAUUUUAAAUGAUUUUUAUUUUUUCCAUUAUAGUUGAUAAAAAUAUUUUUUUUUAAAUGUCAGCUUGGAAUGUUUCCACUCCAUGUUUUCAAGAAAUCAUUUUAUCCCGACUCUCCACUUCAUCACAAACCAUCGCACAUCACCUUCGUUUCCAAGUGAUUUCUAAGUGAGAUGCAACAUGAUUUGAGUUUAUAAAUGGCACGGCCACUGGAAACUUUGUCCCCCUAAGUAACCAUCCUGGUAGAACAUCAGGAUUUUUUCCUUUUCAUGCAGUAAUAUAUUUAUAAUCCCCACGUCAUGACUACCUAAUACAUUUUUAAUGUAAACUUGACAGUAGUAUAACAUAUAUGAAAAAGUGUAUAGGAGUUCCCAUGGUGGCUCAGUGGUUAAUGAACCCGACUAGUAUCCAUGAGGAUACAGGUUCGAUCCCUAGCCUUGCUCAGUGGUUAAGGAUCUGGAGUUGCCGUGAACUGUGGUGUAAGUCGAAGACAAGGCUUGAAUCCCGCAUUGCCCAUGGCUGUGGUGUAGGCUGGCGGUUACAGCUGAUUUGACCCCUAGCCUGGGAACCUCUGUAUGUCGCUGGUGCGGCCCUAAAAAAACAAGUGAAUAAAUCUUAACUAUAUGCCCUGAUGAAUUUUCAAAGUGAACACACUCAGAUGAAGGGCAUCACUAGUCUCCUAAAGGACCUCACAUGCUGCCCUCUCAUCACCUCUGUUUAAGGCCCCUCCCUUCCUCCUGCUCUAGGUAACCCCAUUCUUACUUCUGAUGUCACGGAUAAGUCUCGCCUGGCUUGGAUCCUUAAAUGGCACAAAGUGACUUAUAGCUUAUAAUUUCAUGUCUGGAUUCUUCCAUUCAAGAUUGUGUUUGAGGUGCCUUCCAUGUUGCAGCAUCUGGCUUGAGUGUGUUCAUUUUCAUGAAUGAAGACUAUUCCAUAUAUGAAAACUUCAGUUCUCUCCAUUCUAUUGGAGAUGGACAUUUGGGUUGUUUCCAGAUUUGCAGCUACUCUGAGCAGUGCUGCUACGAACAUUCUCAUAUAGGUUUGUGUACAUGUUUCUGUUGGCUGCACCUUGGGUGGAAUUGUCCAGAAUGGCCAGAGGUUCCAUCUCAGCAGACUCUGCCAGUUACACUCCCAUUAGCAGGUCACCAUACAGCCUGGCCCAAGCUUGGGAUUUCUGCUGUCUCAACUUUAGCUGUUCAGGUAGGCAUAUUCAGGUAGUGGCAUUUUGUUGUUUUUGUAUUUCCCUGGUUUUAGGAAGUUAAGCAUUUCUUAAUAUAUUCUGUUUCCUGGAGGCUGAUAAUCUCCUGAUCACUUAGCUGUUUUUCUGGGGUUUUUUCUUUCUCCCUUAUCUGGGUUACAGUUCUCUGUCUUUUCAUUUUUAUAGGUUUUUGGUGUGGUGACCUUUUUGCAGACAGUAGAGUUGUAGCCUCCUUACUUCUGGUGUCUGUCCCACUUGUGGCUGAAGUUGGUACGGGGGCUUGCUGUAGGCUUCCUGAUGGGAGGGACUGGUGCCUGCCCCCUGGUCGGUGGGGCUGAUUCCUAUCCCUCUGGUGUGUGGGGCUUUGUCUCUGGGUGAGAUUAGAGGCGGCUGUGUGCCUGGGGGUGGGGGUCUUUAGGCAGCCUGUUUAUUGAUGAGUGGGACUGUGAUCCCACCUGGAUUAUUGUUUGGCCUGGGGCUUCUCAGGGCUGAUGGGUGGGGCCAGAUUUUCCCAAACUGGCCACCUCCAGAGAAACGCAUGCUGAUGAAUAUUCGCAAGAGCUUUGCCUCCAAUGUCCUUCCUGCACAACAAGCCACAGUCACCCCCUGUUUUCCCAGGAGGUCCUCCAAGAACUGCAGUCAGGUCUGACUCAGAUUCCUAUGGAGCCUUUGCUCUGCCCUGGGACCCGUGCUCAUGAAAGCCUGUGUGCGCCUUUCAAGAAUGGGGUCUCUGUUUCCCCCAGUCCCGUGGAGCUCCUGCGCACAAGCCCCACUGGCCUUCAAUGCCGGAUGCUCCGGGGGUUCUUUCUCCCAGUGCCAGAUCCCCAGUUGGGACUCAACUCUCACUCCUGUAGGUGAGUCUCUGUGAAAAUAGUUACUUUCCAGUCUGUAGGGCUUCCCACCAGUAGGUAUGGGGUUGCUUAUAACUCGUAAUCACUGCUCCUACCUCCUGAUGUGGCCUGUCUUUGUCUUCUGGAGUAGGCUAUCUUUUUGAAAGUUCCAAUCUGUUUGGUUGAAGGUUGCUCAGCAUUUGGUUGUCAUUUUGUUGUUGUUAGGAGAGAAAUUGAGCUCCAGUCCUUCUAUUCUGCCAUCUUAAUCCCAUCUUCUACUCAAUUUAAUGCAAGGAGUUCCCAUCAUGCGUCAGUGGUUAACGAACCUAAUUAGGAUCCAUGAGGAUUAGGGUUCGAUCCCUGGCCUCGCUCAGUGGGUUAAGGAUCUGGUGUUGCCAUGAGCUGUGGUGUAGGUUGCAGACAUGGCUCGUAUCUCAAUAUAUUCUGGUUAUAAGUUCUUUCANAAUACUAGUCGUUACCCCUGAGCCACGACAGGAACUCCCUAUUUAUUUUAUUUUAUUUUUCAAUUUCUUUCUUUCUUUUUUUCUGUCUUUUGUCGUUUUAGGGCUGCACUUGUGGCAUAUGGAGGUUCCCAGGCUAGGGGUCUAAUCGGAGCUACAGCUGCUGGCCUACACCACAGCCACAGCCACGCCAGAUCCAAGGUGUGUCUGUGACCUACACCAUGGCUCAUGGCAAUGCCGGAUCCUUAACCCACUGAGCAAGGCCAGGGAUCAAACCCUAGUCCUCAUGGAUGCUAGUUGGGUUCAUUAACCAGUAAGCCACAACGGGAACUUCCUGUGUUGUUUCUUAAAGGGAUCUUAAAGAGGGUUUUACAACAUUGUAGAGUGAUUUACAGGGAUUCAGGAAAUCUGUCAAUUCCUUUGCUUCUUUUUAUACCUGAAUCUAUCAGGUGACUUUUAGAAGCACUGGCAUUAGGAGUUCAUUUUUAGGUUAUUUGUUGUUUACUAUAAAAUGGUUGAUAUGGUUUCUUAUGUGACAGACUGAGAAUUUUUUUCUGAUGGGGGAAACACAGGUAUACAUGAGUUGAGGUACAUGUAAGACUUCAUCCCACCCUAAGGCCAGGAUCUUAAAACCAAGUUCAAAUUUACUGGCUUCCUGUCUGUCCUCAUGGUCAAUUCCGAAGGCCUUUGUCUUUGUUAUCAUUGACGGUAUGUUAGUAACUACUUACUAAGUAGUUAAAUGGUUUUGUAUUUACCCUGCAAAAAGGCAAAGCAGCUCUUUUCUUAUGAUGUGCCAACCUGGCAAGGCUGUAGUUCCCAGUUAAUUCAAUUAAACACUAAUCUAGGGGUUGCAAUAAUGGGAUUUUUGCUGAUAUAACCAAAAUCCUUAAUCAACUAAAAUAAGGAUUAUUCUGGAAAAUCUGGUGGGCCUCACUCAGUUAGAAGGCCUUAAAAGCAAGACUGGUUGAGAAAGAGAAAAUUUCAACUGUGGACAACAGCUUCAGCCCUGCCCAAGGAGUCCCAUCCUGUUUUUGAACUUCCCUUCCUGAUUUAGAUUGCUUGGCCAGCCCCCACAAUCAUAUGAGCCAGUUCCUUGUAAAAAUCUCUUAACGUAUGUAUCUACUACUGGUUCUGCUUCUAUGGUUUAAUCCUCAACUAAUGCAAUGAUUUUAAGACCACACAAUUUUUAUUUCCAAAGGAAUUACCAACAAUAUGCAAAAAAUUUGUGAACUUAAAAAAAUAUCUUCCUUAUGAGAAGGACACAAAUCUGUUUAGACUUAGAACCAUUUUGGGUAUAGCUCAUCAGAAGGCUCGGGACUGACUGCGGACACUUAAACAGCAUUAUUUUUAAGAACCUGAAGUCUUCCUCAAUUACCAUGUAAUAUGCAUUCUUAUUAAAUGUUUAAAAUG